rnacentral:lncRNA from 1 species
GCUGCGGUGCGCGAAGCUCACGAACAGAGCUAGAUUAUGUCGCCUCACCUUCACCUCUCCGCCCUCACCUUCGCCUCUCCGCCGCCCGCAAAACCUUGAUUUCGGCGGAUCUAGGGCUUCCGGCGAAGCACACACAACUUCAAUCUCACCAACCACGGACGACGCCUCCCCCGCUCAGGUAGCCCUCCCAGAGGUCGCUCAUCACCGCGGAACAGAAGGGUCAAGGGAGGAGGCGGCGAAACCCUGACGGCGAAGCACCAUGAAUGGUGGAGGAGAGAAGAGGCGACCUGACGGCGAGAGACGGCGUGAGAAGAGAGGCAAGAGGCAGGCAGAGGCGGCGACAGCCCUAAUUCAUGGGGGAGCGGAUUUACAGAGGGGGAAGGGGGGAGACGGAGGCGGCGGCGGCGGAACAGAGGGGGAAGAGGGAGGCGGCGCCGGUGGAACAGAGGGGAAGUGAGCGGCGGCGCCGGUGGAUUUGCAGAGGGGAAAUGGUGGAGCGAUUUAGAGAGGGAGAAUGAGGGAGAUGGUAGAGAGAGAGAGCGAGUAGAGGAGAGAUAGAGAAAAUUAGAUAAAAUUAAUAUUUUUUAUUUUUUUUAAAUAUAUUUAGUAAAAUUACUAAAAUACCCCUGGGAUUUUUGGAAAUUCCAGGGGGGGUCCAGUGACCCCACUGCCCCCCUGCUCCCCUCCCCAAAAUAAGUUCCUCUUUGGGGACGGCACGGGUUUUAAGGAACAAUGGUAAAGUGUAUUGAUAGUAGAGAAAAAUAUGUUAUACAUUGGGAGUGGUGAAAAGGUGUUAUAAUUAGUAUUGAGAGUGGUGAAAAAGUGAAAAGUAAGAAUAAAUAAAGUAUUAUUAGUGGUGGAGUAGUUGUCCAAAAAUGGAAAGAAAGAAAGAUGAACUUAUUAGGGGGACGUCCCAAAAAAGAAAAAGAGGAACUUAUUUCAGGGACGGAAGGAGUAUUCAUUAAAUCAUUUUUGUUGUAGUCUGUCACAAUUUAGGACCAACAAAAUUCUCAUCUUACUUCUAAAGUUAAUUGCACGUACGUGUAUCUGAAUCUUAUAGUUUUAUUUCACAGUUUCUAUAAUUUAUUGUGGUCUAACUCUAAUCUAUGUUUGGAAUGACUAGUUUGUAGGAUUUUCCAACAAUUAGUAUUUUUUUUUUUUGAGGUAAAAGAGAGGAUAUAUUAUUGAUCACAAGAACAUGGUACAUGGAGAUGAUCCACCACAAAGGACAGAGGUUCAUUCCAAACAUGAUGUGAGUUUAUAUCCCUGCAGCCUUAGCAAGAUAAUGAGCAGCUGCAUUUUGUUCCCUUCUAAUGUGUCGAACACGGAUGCCCGGAAAAAGCUCGAGGAUGUCGCGGCAAUGAGACGCUAUAGCACCCAGCUCCAGGAUAUUCCUCUCACCGGUGUUAAUAACGUCACAAGCCCUUUUGCUAUCCGAGUCCACCCAUCCACGCUCAAACCCCAACUCCUUAAGCCAAGAGAGAGCUUCCUUGAUGCCAAUAAGCUCUCCCUCUUCGACACUCCUUAAGCCAGGCAUCUUAAAGGAUUUCCCUCGAAUGAAAGCGCCCUCAUGGUUGCGAAUAAUGACCCCUAUACCCAUGGAGCCAUCUUCCUUGAAGAAAGCUACGUCCACAUCGCACUUGACAGCAUCCAAGGGGAUAGCGUGCCAGCCUUUGCAGAUCGCCUUGGCUGUCGUCGGAGUGCUUCUCAGCGAGUUCUUGGCCCAGGCCACCAACCAUUCCAUCCGAGCAUUGAUCGCGUGAGAAAUCGAGGUCGCCGGAAUAGGAAAAACAUUCUUCCAAACCACCAUGUUUCGGUCCUUAGAUUUUAAACAUAUUAUAUGUGAUCGUAUCUUGGAUGAGCUCAUUGUGAAAAAGUAAGUUUAAAAUUAAGAGUAAAUUUAAAUUUUACUGAUAUGGUUUGGUCGUUCAAAUUUGUUUACUUCUUUAGUUCUUCUGUAUGAAUUUCGGGUUCUACACAGAAGCAAGAAUUAUCGGAUAUCUCACAUAUACCCACUUUCCAAUAAUGAGGAUUAAUUUUAUUAAUCAGAAUUGUGAUUUUAUUAAGUAAUUACAUAUAUAAUUUAAAAUUAUACAUAUAUAUAUAUAUAGUAUUUAUUAAUUAUGUAGUUAAAAAAUAAAUAGUUAUUACAUACAUAGAUAUAUAAAAUUGUGUGUAGUAAUAAUGGAACCAUAUGAAAGUUGAAUUUGUAGUUGCAUUCUAGAAAAGAAGAGCAAAAUAACAAUUGAUUGAAUUUUCAAAAAUUAAUAUAAAAGUGGGGAUCGUAGGUGCAUGAUUGGACUCACCCUUACAGAGUUUUCAUCUUCUCUAAUAAUUUCGUUUGAUUUUUUCAUUGAGCUAGAUUAUAUGUAUAUAUACUUGUUUCUUAUUCAUUUGGUAUUUAGAUAUCUUCUUAAAAAUUAAAUUAAAAAUGAUCAUGAAUUAUUGAAUCUAUCAUUAUUCACUUGAAAAAAUUUGUUGGAGUGGAGUGAGAAAGUGAGGCGUAUGAGAGAGAGAGUAUGGUCCCAUGAAAAUGAAUCAAUGUGGGCUGGGACCAUUGCGCUCGCCACUUUUGGCUCAGUUGGUGCACCACAAACUUUGCAUACCUUCGUACACACGAGAUUCCAUUCUUUAUUUUAGAUAUUUAUUUAUAAGGUAAAUAUCAUAUUAAAUCUUGAACUAUUCUCGCUUUAUCAAAAAUACCCUGGAACUUUCGAAAUGUUCUCUAAACCUCAAAGUAUCAGAGUUUUAUUAAAUAUAUUCCGCAUCUUUUUUCCGGUCCACCGGAAGCGUGAUGUGGCUCGCCGGAUGCCACAAUGUAAUUUAAAAUCUAUUUUUUUAAUCCUAUGUCAUUUUAUAAUAUCUUAUUUAAUCCAUGUCAUUUUUAUUUUAUACUCCAAUGUGAUGCAUAGUCACAUGGCGCUUCUACCAUAUCCCAGUGCGGACUAAUUGUCUCCCAUUUCUUCACCUAAUCAAUUCAAACUUCAGUCAAUAUUUCAUCGAAAUCUACUACAUACUGCCAUUACUCAGAAAAAAUUCCUAUAAUUAAUCCAACAGAUGCAAUCAUAAAGAUAAGCAACUCAAAGCUAAAUGCACACUAAUUGAGUUAUUAUCAUUGAAAUGAUCANGCGGAACAGAAGGGUCAAGGGAGGAGGCGGCGAAACCCUGACGGCGAAGCACCAUGAAUGGUGGAGGAGAGAAGAGGCGACCUGACGGCGAGAGACGGCGUGAGAAGAGAGGCAAGAGGCAGGCAGAGGCGGCGACUAGCCCUAAUUCAUGGGGGAGCGGAUUUACAGAGGGGGAAGGGGGAGACGGAGGCGGCGGCGGCGGAACAGAGGGGAAAGAGGGAGGCGGCGCCGGUGGAACAGAGGGGAAGUGAGCGGCGGCGCCGGUGGAUUUGCAGAGGGGAAA